CUCGCCCGCCGCGCCGCGGUCGCCGCGUGCCUGCCCCCGGCCUCCAUGCUGCCCGCCGCGGUCGCGCUCUGCCCCGGCUGCGGUGCUCGCCCCCGAGACGUGCCACCUGCCAUGCUGGCACGGCACUAUCACCACCUUCUCCGCCUAGCGGCGCCUCCGCCUCCUCCGCCUUCGCCUCCUCCCGGCGCCGCGUCGGCUGCUGCUCGGCAUCGCCCGCCGUCACAUGCUCUCCCCUGCCUCAGGCUGCUGCUAGGCAAGCAUCUGAAUUGCAAAAUCAUGGGACCGCAAGCGAUCGAUACCUGCAGCUCCAGGAUCUCCAUCUACUGAACGUUCUUGACUUCUUGGCCUCUUCGUUCAUGCCAGAGUCAAGUUGAUAGGCGAAUCAGUUGACAGGAUGAUAGGCGAAUCAGUUGACAGGCAGUUCAUCAAGGAGGAGAUACUACUGUAUUCCUGUGCAGGUCGACAGGCGAGACCAACUGUUAUUUACCUCAAGCAAACUAAAUCAGUAAGCUCCCAGGCAAACUGAAGAAACUGAAGCCAGUUCAGAUUGCUACUUGGAGAAAUAACCGUGAAGCUAUGGAAGCCUUUUCAUGAUGAAGUUCAAGUUUUGAUUGAGUCCUUAGUUUUUUUAUUGGCGUGGAGUUUCUGUAAUCCAGCCUGGCGCAUUUUUUUUUAAUUUUUUCAGUAUUAGUUGUAGCUUCAGUUCAGUAUUAGUCCAUAAUCCAUGAUGAAGUUAUGCACAUAGCUUCAGCAAAUGUAUGAUACAGUUGUAGCUCUUGAAGCCUUUUCAGUUCAGCGAAUGAAAGCUGAGUUCAGUGAAUGAUUGUCAA